UACCCGCUGAGUUUAAGCAUAUCAAUAAGCGGAGGAAAAGAAA
rnacentral:rRNA from 3 species